UGAGACGUGUUCAUAAGUCGUAAAGGGUGGUCGGCUAAUCCCCUAUGAAAGGGGGUGAUGCCUCUGGACGCUUACCAAAUGUUUGUGAUUUUAUUUUCGUUUGGAAGCUUUUUGGUUGGUUUGCUCGGUUUAGUUGUGAAAUUAAUUUCAGAGUUCACCAACAAAAAAUAGACCUCCCUUACACUUGUUAACGCUUAAGGAGAGGUCUAUCGCUUGUAUGAUGGGCCGAUCCUCUUUAUGAAGAGAACACGGACUCAAAGGGCGACCGCAGCUGCCACUGUGGUCG
rnacentral:sRNA from 1 species